UUGACAAAUUUAAGCCCAGUGGUGAGGAUGGCCACCUGUUCUUGCAAAAACCAUCACAAAGCUUGGUUUUUCACAGAACUCCCUUCUGUCUCUGGAAAGCCCAAGAUGAAUUGCAAUACAUGCUGGAAGAAAUGAACCUGGAAUACUGAGGAAUGGGAUCAUUCAGCACAAGAGCUGUUUGGGAUCUACCCUUCAAGGGGAAAAAUCACUCUUAGAUCCCACAACCGGUCCGAAGUUCUAUUCCUGGGGCCGAAGUCUGGAAAGCACACCUUCAUCAGCGGUAGGCCCGGACUGCCUUCCGACUGCAUCACCUUACAAACAAAUGAACAGACACGCCCUUCGCAGAGUCUGUUGAAAUCUGAACUUGUCUAUCUAUCAAGAACUAAGCCUUAGAUUUCAGAAGGGCUCGUCAUCAGACCGUAAGGACAGGGCCAAACCAGGACCAGAAGAACCUAAAACAAAAAGUGUUCCAUGUCUAUUUCGAAAGGGAAUAGGACAAAUUCAGCAUGCCCAUCUAGAUCUCGAUUUCUUACUUUGCAGUACAGUCUCAACCACAUGUGUGAGGCCCUAGCUGGAAACGUCGGUCUGUCCUCCAAGACAGUCUUAGAAUAGUCUCCGU
rnacentral:lncRNA from 1 species